rnacentral:snRNA from 1 species
AAGUGUUACAGCUCUUUUGGAACCUGUCUAGUAGGUAUUCUGAUUGUUACAAGAAAUUCCACC